rnacentral:rRNA from 1 species
AUUGAACGCUGACGGAAUGCCUAACACAUGCAAGUCGAGCGGGGGUAGCAAUACUUCAGCGGCGGACGGGUGAGGAACACAUAGGAAUCUGCCUUUAGGUGGGGGAUAGCCAGGGGAAACUCUGGGUAAUACCGCAUGAUCUCGAGAGAGCAAAGGAGCGCAAGUCUCGCCUUUAGAGGAGCCUAUGUCUGAUUAGCUAGUUGGCGGUGUAAUGGACCACCAAGGCGAUGAUCAGUAACUGGUCUGAGAGGACGAUCAGUCACACCGGAACUGAGACACGGUCCGGACUCCUACGGGAGGCAGCAGUGGGGAAUAUUGGACAAUGGGCGAAAGCCUGAUCCAGCAAUUCCGCGUGUGUGAAGAAGGCCUUCGGGUUGUAAAGCACUUUAGUUGGGGAAGAAACAGCUUGGCCACACCAAGCCUUGACGGUACCCAAAGAAUAAGCACCGGCUAACUCUGUGCCAGCCGCCGCGGUAAAAC